UUAAGCGACUAAGCGUACACGGUGGAUGCCCUGGCAGUCAGAGGCGAUGAAGGACGUGCUAAUCUGCGAAAAGCGCCGGCGAGGUGAUAUGAACCNCACACUAUCGUUAACUGAAUACAUAGGUUAACGAGGCGAACCGGGGGAACUGAAACAUCUAAGUACCCCGAGGAAAAGAAAUCAACCGAGAUUCCCCCAGUAGCGGCGAGCGAACGGGGAGCAGCCCGGAGUCUGAAUCAGCUUGUGUGUUAGUGGAACGGUCUGGAAAGUCCGACGGUACAGGGUGAUAGUCCCGUACACGAAAGCACACUUGCUGUGAACUCGAAGAGUAGGGCGGGACACGUGGUAUCCUGUCUGAAUAUGGGGGGACCAUCCUCCAAGGCUAAAUACUCCUGACUGACCGAUAGUGAACCAGUACCGUGAGGGAAAGGCGAAAAGAACCCCGGCGAGGGGAGUGAAAAAGAACCUGAAACCGUGUACGUACAAGCAGUGGGAGCACCUUCGUGGUGUGACUGCGUACCUUUUGUAUAAUGGGUCAGCGACUUAUAUUCUGUAGCAAGGUUAACCGUAUAGGGGAGCCGAAGGGAAACCGAGUCUUAACUGGGCGUUAAGUUGCAGGGUAUAGACCCGAAACCCGGUGAUCUAGCCAUGGGCAGGUUGAAGGUUGGGUAACACUAACUGGAGGACCGAACCGACUAAUGUUGAAAAAUUAGCGGAUGACCUGUGGCUGGGGGUGAAAGGCCAAUCAAACCGGGAGAUAGCUGGUUCUCCCCGAAAGCUAUUUAGGUAGCGCCUCGUGAACUCAUCUUCGGGGGUAGAGCACUGUUUCGGCUAGGGGGCCAUCCCGGCUUACCAACCCGAUGCAAACUACGAAUACCGAAGAAUGUUAUCACGGGAGACACACGGCGGGUGCUAACGUCCGUCGUGAAGAGGGAAACAACCCAGACCGCCAGCUAAGGUCCCAAAGUCAUGGUUAAGUGGGAAACGAUGUGGGAAGGCACAGACAGCCAGGAUGUUGGCUUAGAAGCAGCCAUCAUUUAAAGAAAGCGUAAUAGCUCACUGGUCGAGUCGGCCUGCGCGGAAGAUGUAACGGGGCUAAACCAUGCACCGAAGCUGCGGCAGCGACACUAUGUGUUGUUGGGUAGGGGAGCGUUCUGUAAGCCGUUGAAGGUGUGCUGUGAGGCAUGCUGGAGGUAUCAGAAGUGCGAAUGCUGACAUAAGUAACGAUAAAGCGGGUGAAAAGCCCGCUCGCCGGAAGACCAAGGGUUCCUGUCCAACGUUAAUCGGGGCAGGGUGAGUCGACCCCUAAGGCGAGGCCGAAAGGCGUAGUCGAUGGGAAACAGGUUAAUAUUCCUGUACUUGGUGUUACUGCGAAGGGGGGACGGAGAAGGCUAUGUCAGCCGGGCGACGGUUGUCCCGGUUUAAGCAUGUAGGCGGAGGUUCCAGGUAAAUCCGGUACCUUAUUAACGCUGAGGUGUGAUGACGAGGCACUACGGUGCUGAAGUGAUAAAUGCCCUGCUUCCAGGAAAAGCCUCUAAGCAUCAGGUAACACGAAAUCGUACCCCAAACCGACACAGGUGGUCAGGUAGAGAAUACCAAGGCGCUUGAGAGAACUCGGGUGAAGGAACUAGGCAAAAUGGUGCCGUAACUUCGGGAGAAGGCACGCUGAUGUGUAGGUGAAGUCCCUGCGGACGGAGCUGAAAUCAGUCGAAGAUACCAGCUGGCUGCAACUGUUUAUUAAAAACACAGCACUGUGCAAACACGAAAGUGGACGUAUACGGUGUGACGCCUGCCCGGUGCCGGAAGGUUAAUUGAUGGGGUUAGCUGUAAGGCGAAGCUCUUGAUCGAAGCCCCGGUAAACGGCGGCCGUAACUAUAACGGUCCUAAGGUAGCGAAAUUCCUUGUCGGGUAAGUUCCGACCUGCACGAAUGGCGUAAUGAUGGCCAGGCUGUCUCCACCCGAGACUCAGUGAAAUUGAACUCGCUGUGAAGAUGCAGUGUACCCGCGGCAAGACGGAAAGACCCCGUGAACCUUUACUAUAGCUUGACACUGAACACUGGUCCUUGAUGUGUAGGAUAGGUGGGAGGCUUUGAAGCGUGGACGCCAGUCUGCGUGGAGCCGCCCUUGAAAUACCACCCUUUAAUGGCUGGUGUUCUAACGUAGACCCGUAAUCCGGGUUGCGGACAGUGUCUGGUGGGUAGUUUGACUGGGGCGGUCUCCUCCCAAAGAGUAACGGAGGAGCACGAAGGUUGGCUAAUCCUGGUCGGACAUCAGGAGGUUAGUGCAAUGGCAUAAGCCAGCUUGACUGCGAGCGUGACGGCGCGAGCAGGUGCGAAAGCAGGUCAUAGUGAUCCGGUGGUUCUGAAUGGAAGGGCCAUCGCUCAACGGAUAAAAGGUACUCCGGGGAUAACAGGCUGAUACCGCCCAAGAGUUCAUAUCGACGGCGGUGUUUGGCACCUCGAUGUCGGCUCAUCACAUCCUGGGGCUGAAGUAGGUCCCAAGGGUAUGGCUGUUCGCCAUUUAAAGUGGUACGCGAGCUGGGUUUAGAACGUCGUGAGACAGUUCGGUCCCUAUCUGCCGUGGGCGCUGGAGAAUUGAGGGGGGCUGCUCCUAGUACGAGAGGACCGGAGUGGACGCAUCACUGGUGUUCGGGUUGUCAUGCCAAUGGCACUGCCCGGUAGCUAAAUGCGGAAGAGAUAAGUGCUGAAAGCAUCUAAGCACGAAACUUGCCCCGAGAUGAGUUCUCCCUGAGACUUUAAGUCUCCUGAAGGAACGUUGAAGACGACGACGUUGAUAGGUCGGGUGUGUAAGCGCAGCGAUGCGUUGAGCUAACCGAUACUAAUGAACCGUGAGGCUUAACCUU
rnacentral:rRNA from 1 species